rnacentral:rRNA from 1 species
GAUGAACGCUGGCGGCGUGCCUAAUACAUGCAAGUCGAACGCUGAAGGAGGAGCUUGCUCUUCUGGAUGAGUUGCGACCGGGUGAGUAACGCGUAGGUAACCUGCCUGGUAGCGGGGGAUAACUAUUGGAAACGAUAGCUAAUACCGCAUGACAACAGUUAUUGCAUGAUAACUGUUUAAAAGGGGCAACUGCUCCACUACCAGAUGGACCUGCGUUGUAUUAGCUAGUUGGUGAGGUAACGGCUCACCAAGGCGACGAUACAUAGCCGACCUGAGAGGGUGAUCGGCCACACUGGGAAUGAGACACGGCCCAGACUCCUACGGGAGGCAGCAGUAGGGAAUCUUAGGCAAUGGACGGAAGUCUGACCGAGCAACGCCGCGUGAGUGAAGAAGGUUUUCGGAUCGUAAAGCUCUGUUGUAAGAGAAGAACGAGUGUGAGAGUGGAAAGUUCACACUGUGACGGUAGCUUACCAGAAAGGGACGGCUAACUACGUG